UACGAAGGGGGCUAGCGUUGUUCGGAAUUACUGGGCGUAAAGGGCGCGUAGGCGGUGUGUCAAGUCAGGCGUGAAAGCCCCGGGCUCAACCUGGGAACCGCGCUUGAGACUGGCACGCUAGAGUUCGGGAGAGGAUGGUGGAAUUCCCAGUGUAGAGGUGAAAUUCGUAGAUAUUGGGAAGAACACCGAUGGCGAAGGCAGCCAUCUGGACCGACACUGACGCUGAGGCGCGAAAGCGUGGGGGAGCAAACAGGG
rnacentral:rRNA from 1 species